UAGCCGUAAACGAUACUCGCUAGGUGUCGGCCACGGUGCGACCGUUGUCGGUGCCGUAGGGAAGCCGUGAAGCGAGCCACCUGGGAAGUACGGCCGCAAGGCUGAAACUUAAAGGAAUUGGCGGGGGAGGCACAACAACGGGUGGAGCUUGCGGUUUAAUUUGGAUUCAACGCCGGAAAUCUUACCGGGACCGGACAGCAACAUGAAGGCCAAGCUGAAGACUUUGCCGGAUUAGCUGAGAGGAGGUGCAUGGCGUAGUCGUGU
rnacentral:rRNA from 1 species